UACAGGGGGUGCAAACGUUGCUCGGAAUUAUUGGGCGUAAAGGGCGCGUAGGCGGCUCCUUAAGUCGGUUGUGAAAGCCCCUGGCUCAACUGGGGAAGUGCACCCGAAACUGGGUAGCUUGAGUGCAAAAGAGGGCCGCGGAAUUCCCGGUGUAGAGGUGAAAUUCGUAGAUAUCGGGAGGAACACCGGUGGCGAAGGCGGCGGCCUGGGUUGACACUGACGCUGAGGCGCGAAAGCGUGGGGAGCAAACAGG
rnacentral:rRNA from 1 species